rnacentral:tRNA from 1 species
UGGGGUAUAGCUCAGUGGAAGAGCACUUACCUAACACAUAUGAAGCCCUGGGUUCCAUUCUCAGCACCACAU